rnacentral:lncRNA from 10 species
UGAAAAUGCCUAUAAGCCUGACACCCCUUUAAAUCUGGUAAAUCUGUUUCAGUUAAAAAGUAGAAUCUAAUUUCUCUAGGUCCCAUAUAGGAUGGGCCCUAUACUGUAAUCUUGUCCACUCCCACUGCUGUUAAAGUUGCAGGUGUUAUGUCUUGGAUCCACCACCAUCGGCUAACACCAUCAGCUCGGGACAGGUAAACCAGCCAGCAAGACCCAGAUAUCCAACCCGGCUAAUCCUGAGAUGAGACCAAGCUGCUGCUGAGGACAACAGCCCUGCUCUGGUUACUCUGGAGGCUGACCAGUCUAUGUACGGCUGAAGCUUGAAGAAACAAUAAGCCCUGCAUUAGUCAUACACCAGAAGCUGAGUAGUCUAAGCAUGGCUGAAGCUUGAGGACUUGUCAAGCAAAUAAUGUAGUUAGAAAUCUUAGGACUAGUGGUUUUCCUGUAUACUAACUGUUUUACUAUUGUUCUGUCACUGUGCUCAAUCUUUUUCUCAGGCCUUCUACGGUCCCAGGCUUUCUGCUGCAUACACUGAAGGGCCACGAAGUACAGUCAUCUGGACUUGGCACCUGGAAUACAAGGAUGGAAAGCAUCAUUUCUGCCAGCUUCUUAUGGUCCUGAGGCGAGACAGUCAUGAGAGAGGAAAACUGCAAUGACUUCUGACCACUGCCAGCCUCGCUUCCUGCAUUUUCUUCUUCGGCUUACUCUUGCCAAGUUGGAGUUGCCUAACUUCCAAGAGGGUAUUUGCUCUUUUUUUUUUCUCACUCCACAAACUCUUCCCAGGUAGUUCAGUCCACUCCCAUCUACCAGUCACUAUACGCCGAUGAAUGCCAAUAUUAUUAUUUCCAGCUUAGACAUUGUUCUUGGAUUGCAGAUGUGAGGUUUGACUUGUUUACUAGACAUUGCUGGCUGAGGAUCCCUAGCAUAACAUGGCCCAAAUUCAAUUUAUUUCCAAAGCUGUCUCAUCUCCUUUGUUCUCUGUAAUGAUGUUGCUAUCCAUUCGAUCAACAUACUCAGAAAUAUCACCCCCUCCUUCCUUCUUCCAAGAUAAGUGAGUUGCUCACGACAUGAUCAUGUUUUGGCAGUGUACUCUGUCCAUUCCCAUCACUUAGUAAGAAUCAUCUAGGUUAUGCUGAAGUAUGAAGUUAAUCUCCAAAUUUCUCUGGCUCAGUACAGAAAAAGUCCAUUUCUCCCUUCUGCAAUGCACCCAAUGCAGGUCUGCAGGGUCUCUGCUGUGCGUUGUCCCUCAGGGACUCAGGCUGAAGAGGCCCCCUUGUCUUAUCUGGCCACCUCCUCUGCACAUGGCUCAGGAUUUUCCAGGCAAGGGGUUGAGCAGAGGCUUUUCAGUGCUGGGCCUGGAUGUGACAUAAGAUGCUUCUGCUCACAGCCUUGUGGUCAGAACAAGUCACAUCAUCCCUCCUACUUGCAGGGGUGCUGGGCAGCGUAGUCAUCCACAGAUCAGGAGAGGGAGCAGAGGCAGGUGUUCCCGGGCUGCAGCGAUCUCCACUGCACUGCUGUGGGCUGAACUGUGCCCUCCACCCCACCAAGCUUAUAUGCUGCCAGCCUCACCCUCCACACCUUAGAAUGUGGCUGUAUCUCGACAUAGGGUCCUUACAGAGGUAGUUAAGUUAAAGCAGGGUCAUUAGGGUGGGCCCUAAGGUACUCUGACUGGUGUUUUUAUGAGAAGAGGAGAUUAGGACUUACAGGGAGAGACACUAGGUAUGUGAGCACACAGAGAAAAGACCAUGUGAAGACGAGAAGAAGGCAACUGUCUCCAAUCCAGACGGAGAUGCCAGGCACAGCCCUUCUGUCACAACCCUCAGAAGGAACCAACCCUGCCGACACCUUGGCCUUGUACUUCUGGCCUCCAGAACCGCAGGAAAGUACAUUUCUGUUGCUUAGGCCGCUCAGCCUGUGGCACUUUGUUACAGCUUCUCACCCAGUUCAGGCCCUUUUAAUUGAUUGCUGGGCCUUUGCAGUUGUUUUUGCUUCUAAUAUAUUCAUCUCUCAAUUUAUUUCUGGAGGCUGCCACCCGAGGGGCAGAACUUCAAUUGUGUCCCUAAUGGGAAACCUUGCUGGGAUCAUGUGGUCUACAGCACAAGGUUGCUAAAGCAUCUUCUGCCAGAAUUCUGUGAGUAUCUGGUUAGGUGGGUCUGGAAUAUACUGAGUUUAAAAAAGUUAAAUAGGUUUCUUUACUGCAAGAUGUUUCAGAGACUUUAAUAUGCUACUCUGCUGUAUGAAUCUCCAGGCAGGAAAUCUUAUAAAAUGUGUUUCUGAAAUGAAUUUGCACAUAAGACCCUGUUUUCUUGGAGCCUCUGAUAGUGGGUGAAUGCCCAAUCUCUAGUGGGACUUGCAAGACUUUGCAAUUGGGCAGACAUAUUUCUUUUCACCUUAUCUCCCUCUGUCUCUAUGGAGAUACUCCCAUCGCAUCAAAGUUCUUCUUAUUACUUACACAUGGGGUGGCAGCUGUGACAUGCACCCAUCACAUCUCCCUCCAAGAGACCCUACAGGGGAGCACAGUUGGCUGGCAGCUCCCGGUGUCUGCGCCUCCAGGCCCACUGCUCCCUUGGGCGGCUCCCAGUCAGUGGCAAGGUAGCGGGGUUCUGGAGGAGGCCCAUUUCUACCUGCAGUGGGGAAGCUGGGCUCCUCUAAGAGGCAAACUUCUCAGAGACUCCACUGUGGCUCUGCUGAGGCUGAGAACUGUGCUUUUGGUCUGAGCGCAUUCUCCCCAUUCUCCUUCCUGCCCCCGCUCCUUGCGCCGGCCUUAGACCAGCUAGCUGUCUGCAGGCUUUCCCUGCCCACGGCUGCCCCUCCUUUCCCCUUCACAGCCGUUUCCGCCCACAUGCGCCGUGCAUGGUUAAUCGCACCGUGCCAUCCACUUCUCUGAGGACCUGAGUUAGCACACAAAGUAUGUUCGUUCCCUGUGUCCUCACCUCUCCCUGAUGUAUCUUCUCCCUUCCUCUGCUGGCUGUCUGUUGGGAAUCUUGGGAAAGGAAUUUGUGAGUAAUGUUCCAGGCAGCCUAGCUUUUAGGGUGAAUGACUGGUUCUGACUUAUGUCAAUACAUCCUUGAGUCAUGCCAAGAACUGUGGGAUGAUCAAGGACCACGGACCAGUGUCCUGGAAGCAUCGAUGGCUCCAAGCUGCUGGCACCACUGUCCUUGGAAUUACCGAGUGUGAUUUUUAGAGUUACGGGCACAUUUCUCAGGCCCCAUAAAUGUGAUGGAUGGUGAAUUACAGGACUUUUGAGUAUAUAGUGAGUGGACUACAAUUGUGCUGUAUGUAGCCCACUGCUUUGUGCGUGAGGCGAUUUUAGGCCAUUGAAGGAGUUCAGCUGUCCUCCAUAUGAGUCAUUUCCUAGACAGUGUACUCUGCAAAAG